rnacentral:lncRNA from 10 species
CAUCGGACAGGAAGAAAACUGUCCUGUGUGCCCCAGCAUGGCAGGGAUCACCAGUUUGCAGGAUUCAGCUCAGGGUUCCAGGAUAUGCCAUGAACAGAUCUGUUUCUGUGAUGGAGGCUCAUGUCUGGGCACUUGGCCUAUAUAGGAAGUGGCGAGGAAUCAGAGAGUGGGUGAGUCAGGAGGGAACAGGCCCCAGUGUGAGAAAAUGGGGAGCACUGUUGCUUAUUCACCACCACUCUUUUAUUCACACGGCACUAAAGGUGAGCAGCUGCCCAGCGAUAGAACCUAGACAAUGUGAAGCAAGCACUUCAGGUGCAGGACUUGGGGGGAUGCCCAAACACCACCCCCUCCCUGCCCGAGGGAUAAAGCCAAGAGAGAGAUGGUGCUUUAGCUGAUGACUCACAGCUAAAUGAGUAAAUUGAUUUUUAAAUUUUUUUCAUUAGUGGGAUUUGUAUCUAAAAAAACAAAAAACAAACCAAACCAAACCAAAAAAAAAAAAAAAACACCAAACAAAAACAUGUAUGCCAGCUGUUAGAGAUUCCUACCUUGUAGAUUGCAGGCAGACAGAUCUGUUGAGUCCAUGUCCCGCUCAGGCAUUCCUCCGAUCGCACACAUUUGUCGUGGCACCAGCCACACUGAACAAAGGGUGGGGCAGAGAGGCAUUGACUGCAGGACUGGAAAUGUCUGCAGCCCAAGCCAUUCAAUGGGAUCUUCGUGAUCUGUGAAGAGAAGGGGUGGAAAGAGCUUCCAGAGGGGUAUCUAGUUUGUUAAUUAAUUAUAAAGUAAGUACACAAAAGGUACAUGUAAAUAUCAUUUGAUGGAAUUUUCUAGACUUAGCAACUAUGUGUGCAAAUCCUGUCAUAACGGUGAUUAAAAUUUUAAAAAUCUGAUUCCUUCCUUUCCUUUAUUGUUAGCAGGUAUGUGAAAAAGUAACAUUAUUGUCCAGUGAGCAUAGCAUUGCCACACAAUGUUAGAGGUUCUACAUAGUAGGGACAUUGUGCCCUGUCUGAGAUGAUUUUAAAAUAACAAGAGAGUAUAAUUUAAGUGGUGGGAAAACACACUUGAAUCUCUGGAAAAUUCUAAGUAAAGUUGCAUGUCAUUCUGGCAUCAAGAUGCACUUUCUUCUCUAGGAGAAAAGGGAUUAUUGGUUGGAGUCGGAUUCCAAUGUACAUUUCCAGGAUUUAUCUGCCUGCACUAGAGCUCUGUCAUUAGGACUGUAAUUCUCAUUCUGUGUGUUUAUUUUUCUUGUUGAGAAAUAUAGGACAAAAGGAGAAGUUUUGAAAAAGACCUCCCUUAGGUCUAGUCUUUCUUGGAGAACAAAUUAACUAGAUUUCAGAAGAUCUCUGGAAUACUCACUAAAGAACUUAAUGGAGGAGGGGUAAAUUUAAGAUGAAGAGAGACAUUAUAAAGGGCCAAGUGACACUGGUUGUAAAUAUGCAUUUGGGAAAAACCACGUCUAUGGAAAUUCCCUGUGGGAACAGCUUACCUUCUUCCCAGUGAUAACCAGUGUGUAGCCAUUUUGGUUUAAUGUAUGCUCCACAAUCACUUCUGGAGACACUGGAUGGGAGUCCAGGAGAAAAUUCACAUGAGGGGUUGAUGGUCCUGAUCGAGAAACCACAACCUAAACAGCAAAAAAGUUAUAACAUCCUUAUUCCAACAAGCUCAGUUUAAAUAUAAGUGGAAAAUGUAGAUGAUAAUGGUAAUAACAGAUUAGCAGGGCUUGUGGGUGUUUGAACUGAAGACCCAACAGUUCCCCUCAUUGUAAAUCAAUAUGUCAUCUUCUAAUCUCUUGCCUUGAAGCCAAAUUAUCUGAACCCCCAAGACAGACUUUGCCUAUGAUCUUUUAAUGGUUUCAAGGGAAAGAGAUCUUUCAAUCAAUUGGCAGCAC